rnacentral:rRNA from 1 species
UACGGAGGAUGCAAGCGUUAUCCGGAAUCAUUGGGCGUAAAGGGUCCUGAGGUGGUUUGCUAAGUCUACUGUGAAAGAUCAGGGCUCAACCCUGAAGAUGCGGUGGAAACUGGCAGGCUAGAAUACGGUAGGGGCAGGGGGAAUUCCUGGUGUAGCGGUGAAAUGCGCAGAUAUCAGGAGGAACACCGGUGGCGAAGGCGGGUCUCUGGGCAGUAACUGACGCUGAGGAGCGAAAGCGUGGGGAGCGAACAGG